GACGAACGCUGGCGGCGUGCUUAACACAUGCAAGUCGAACGGAAAGGCCCUGCUCUUGCGGGGUGCUCGAUUGGCGAACGGGUGAGUAACACGCGAGUAACCUGCCCUUGACUUUGGGAUAACUUCAGGAAACUGGGGCUAAUACCCGAUAGGAGCUCCUGCUGCAUGGUGGGGGUUGGAAAGAUUCGGCGGUUGGGGAUGGACUCGCGGCUUAUCAGCUUGUUUGUGGGGUAGUGGCUUACCAAGGCUUUGACGGGUAGCCGGCCUGAGAGGGUGACCGGCCACAUUGGGACUAAGAGACGGCCCAGACGCGUACGGGAGGCAGCAGUGGGGAAUAUUGCACAAGGGGCGGAAGCCUGAUGCAGCAGCGCCGCGUGCGGGAUGACGGCUUUCGGGUUGUAAACCGCUUUAGCUUGUGACGAAGCGUGAGUGACGGUAAUGGGUAAAGAAGCACCGGCUAACUACGUG
rnacentral:rRNA from 1 species